GGGCUUGACCGGAUUUGACAGCGGGCAGAAAUGGUAUGUAAGCAUGCAGUGCGUCAGUGAUUAGCACUUAAAUCUCAGUUACUGAACUUUUAUCUGGCGAAAACAAUUACGCUCUCGCUGCUUAAUCGAAUCAUAGUAGAUUAGCUUUAUUUUUGCCAUAGUGGCGAAAACGAGAUAUCGCUCAAAAGCUCUUGUUCCGAGGCGUUUGAUUCAGCGGUAUAGGAAAAUCGGGAAUAGUAAGAAUUUCUCCUCGCGAUUCUUACGAAAACUUAGAGGAUAAGGCGCAAGUUGGUGGCUCUGGUCUUGCUUGCACACGAAAAUUAAGGCAGAGAUAAGCAUGUAGAAAACAUAUGGUUUCCUCGUAUGGACGAGGGUUCGACUCCCUCCAGGUCCACU
rnacentral:tmRNA from 1 species